GUUAUUUAAUAUAAAGUCUGACCUGCCCACUGAAAUUAUUUUGAAGGGCCGCAGUAUUUUGACUGUGCAAAGGUAGCAUAAUCAUUAGUCUUUUAAUUGAAGGCUGGUAUGAAUGGUUGGAUGAGGUACAAGCUGUGUCAUAAAAAUUAAUAUUUGAAUUUACCUUUUUAGUCAAAAGGCUAAAAUAAAAUUAAAAGACGAGAAGACCCUAUAGAGCUUUAUAUAUUUUAUAUUUAAAUUAUUAAGAUUUUUUAAAUUUAAUUAUUUUAUUAUAUUUUGUUGGGGUGACAAUAAAAUUUAUAAAACUUUUAUUAUUAUUAUACAUUUAUUUAUGAUUAUAUGAUCCAGUUUUAUUGAUUAUAAAUUUAAGUUACCUUAGGGAUAACAGCGUAAUUUUUUUUGAGAGUUCUUAUCGACAAAAAAGAUUGCGACCUCGAUGUUGGAUUAAGAGUAAUUUUGGGUGUAGAAGUUCAAAGUUUAAGUCUGUUCGACUUUUAAAUUCUUACAUGAUC
rnacentral:rRNA from 1 species